rnacentral:rRNA from 1 species
AACAGGAUUAGAUACCCUGGUAGUCCACGCCGUAAACUAUGGAUGCUAGCUGUAAGAGGUAUCGACCCCUCUUGUAGCGAAGCUAACGCGUUAAGCAUCCCGCCUGUGGAGUACGGUCGCAAGACUAAAACAUAAAGGAAUUGACGGGGACCCGCACAAGCGGUGGAGCGUGUUGUUUAAUUCGAUGGUAAACGAAGAACCUUACCCAGGUUUGACAUCCUUGGAAUUUUGCCGAAAGGCGAGAGUGCUUUAUUGAGCCAAGUGACAGGUGUUGCAUGGCCGUCGUCAGCUCGUGUCGUGAGAUGUUUGGUUAAGUCCAUCAACGAGCGCAACCCUUAUGGUCUGUUGUAUUUCUCAGGCCAGACUGCCCUGGUAACAGGGAGGAAGGGGGGGAUGAUGUCAGGUCAGUAUUACCCUUACAUCUGGGGCUACAAACACGCUACAAUGGCCGGUACAAAGGGCUGCCAAGUCGCGAGACGGAGCAAAUCCCAUCAAAGCCGGCCCCAGUUCGGAUAAGAGGCUGAAACUCGCCUCUUUGAAGUCGGAAUCGCUAGUAACGGUAGGUCAGCUAUACUACCGUGAAUACGUUCCCGGGUCUUGUACACACCGCCCGUCAAACCAUGAAAGUCGCCAAUACCUGACGUGUGAGCUUCGCCUCGCCCUAAGGUAGGGGAGAUGAUUGGGGUUAAGUCGUAACAAGGUAACC